rnacentral:rRNA from 1 species
UACGUAGGUGUCGAGCGUUGUCCGGAUUUAUUGGGCGUAAAGAGCCCGCAGGCGGCUUGGCAAGUUUGAGGUGAAAUCUCCCGGCUUAACUGGGAGGGGGCCUCGAAAACUGCCAGGCUUGAGGCAUGGAGAGGGAUGCGGAAUUCCCGGUGUAGUGGUGAAAUGCGUAGAUAUCGGGAGGGAACACCAGUGGCGAAGGCGGCAUCCUGGCCAUGUCCUGACGGCUCAGGGGCGAA